rnacentral:rRNA from 1 species
UAAGCGGAGGAAAAGAAACUAACAAGGAUUCCCCUAGUAACGGCGAGUGAAGCGGGAAGAGCUCAAAUUUGAAAUCUGGUAGCCUUCGGUUGCCCGAGUUGUAAUCUAGAGAAGUGUUUUCCGUGCCGGCCCAUGUACAAGUCCCUUGGAACAGGGCGUCAUAGAGGGUGAGAAUCCCGUCCUUGACAUGGACCCCCGGUGCUUUGUGAUACACUUUCAACGAGUCGAGUUGUUUGGGAAUGCAGCUCAAAAUGGGUGGUGAAUUCCAUCUAAAGCUAAAUAUUGGCGAGAGACCGAUAGCGAACAAGUACCGUGAGGGAAAGAUGAAAAGCACUUUGGAAAGAGAGUUAAACAGUACGUGAAAUUGUUGAAAGGGAAACGAUUGAAGUCAGUCAUGCUCUUAGGAUUCAGCCGUUCUGCGGUGUAUUUCCUUUGAGUGGGGUCAACAUCAGUUUUGAUCGAUGGAUAAAGGCACGAGGAAGGUAGCACUCUCGGGUGAACUUAUAGCCUCGCGUCAUAUACAUUGAUUGGGACUGAGGAACGCAGCAUGCCUUUAUGGCCGGGAUUCGUCCACGUACAUGCUUAGGAUGUUGACAUAAUGGCUUUAAACGACCCGUCUUGAA